UUCCACAAACAAGAAAGCAUUCCGUUACAGGGCCCAUGAGGACACCCCUUACCCUCAUGGCACAGUGGAUGGAUACAUUUGAGGAGAAGAUGGAUGAGCUGCUCAUGCUCUUCAGGAGCUCCCCGUCCCCUCCCUCUGCUCCAAAUCAAAGCGUGCCAUUUGCCGAAAAGCAGCUGGGCAAAAUAUCCUGUUAAAAAAAUAUGGCGAACAGAUUCCUACGCCAAAGCUGUGGACCGGUGUCGGCGGCUGAUGGACACUUCCAACAUCGAGACAGAAGAUGAAGCAAGUGUCCAAAAAGGCAGUGUCGAGGCCCAAGGAGGUUCAUGACAGAUUCUUCAAACAAUGAUGAAUUUGUUGCACGACCAGAUAAACUGUGCAGGACGGAGCGUGCGUCUGAAGCCCUGUCUGGAAGUUAAAAUGUAUGCAUGCAUAUAAGA